UCGAGGACGAACGCUGGCGGCGUGCUUAACACAUGCAAGUCGAACGAAGCACUCUACUUGAUUUUCUUCGGGAAUGAUUGUUUUGUGACUGAGUGGCGGACGGGUGAGUAACGCGUGGGUAACCUGCCUCAUACAGGGGGAUAACAGUUGGAAACGACUGCUAAUACCGCAUAAGCGCACGGGACUGCAUGGUCCAGUGUAGAAAAACUCCGGUGGUAUAGGAUGGACCCGCGUCUGAUUAGCUAGUUGGUGAGGUAGAGGCUCACCAAGGCGACGAUCAGUAGCCGGCCUGAGAGGGUGACCGGCCACAUUGGGACUGAGACACGGCCCAAACUCCUACGGGGAGGCAGCAGGUGGGGAAUAUUGCACAAUGGGGGAAACCCUGAUGCAGCGACGCCGCGUGAGUGAAGAAGUAUUUCGGUAUGUAAAGCUCUAUCAGCAGGGAAGAAAAUGACGGUACCUGACUAAGAAGCCCCGGCUAACUACGUG
rnacentral:rRNA from 1 species